GGAGAGAUGGCUGAGUGGCCUAAAGCGCUUGCCUGCUAAGCAAGAGUCUGGCUAAAACCGGGCACGAGGGUUCGAAUCCCUCUCUCUCCGCCA
rnacentral:tRNA from 1 species